UACGGGGGGAGCAAGCGUUGUUCGGAUUUACUGGGCGUAAAGGGCGCGUAGGCGGCGUAACAAGUCACUUGUGAAAUCUCCGGGCUUAACUCGGAGCGGUCAAGUGAUACUGUUGUGCUAGAGUGCGGAAGGGGCUACUGGAAUUCUCGGUGUAGCGGUGAAAUGCGUAGAUAUCGAGAGGAACACCUGCGGCGAAGGCGGCUCUCUGGGACGGUACUGACGCUGAGACGCGAAAGCGUGGGGAGCGAACAGG
rnacentral:rRNA from 1 species